AUGAGGAGCCGUGGUAGCUUCGCUCUGAACCAUGCGGUGGCGUUUCUCGUGUGGUGGAUGGUGCAUUGCGGCAGUGAGCUCGUUGCCGCCGUGCCUCCUGAUGGUUGGUACGAUUACACUGCCCACACGGACUGCAGAGGCCGCCCGGAGCCGGCGCAGUACAACGGCGGGAUUCUCAAGUACGGCAACGGCGACGACCCGAACGGGUACAAGACGACGGAGACUGGCGUCCUGUCCCCGGCGUUCGUGGUCUACAACCUCAACAAGUCCACAAUGUACACCUUCUCAGGCUGGGUGAAGCUGGAAGGCUCUCCCUCGGCUCUGAUCACCGCGAGGCUGGCCCCGGACAACUCCGGCACACGGUGCAUCGGGACGGUCCUCGCCAGGAGCGACUGCUGGGCGUUCCUCAAGGGUGGCUUCGUCCUCGACUGGCCAACUCAGACCUCCGUCAUCUUCUUCCAGAAUGCUGAUAGGACCCCGAUGAAGAUCACCACUGCGAGCGCCUCGCUCCAGCCGUUCACGACGGAUCAAUGGUCGAUGCACCAGAAAGAUACGAUCCGGAAGAGGAGGAAGAGGAUGGCCACCGUCCACGUCGCCGACCCGCACGGCACCCGGGUGGUCGGCGCGUCGGUGUCCGUGCAGCAGACGGCUAAGGACUUCCCGCUUGGGUCGGCGAUCGCCUCCACCAUCCUGGGCAACGACGCGUACCAGAAGUGGUUCGUGGACCGGUUCAACGCGGCGGUGUUCGAGGACGAGCUCAAGUGGUACUCGACGGAGCCGGCGUCGGGGCUGCUCCGGUUCGACGUGCCGGACCAGAUGCUGGCGUUCGUGCGGUCGCACCGGGUGAUGGUGCGCGGGCACAACAUCUUCUGGGAGAACCAGGACGCCACGCCCCGGUGGGUCAAGGGCCUGUCGCCGGACGACCUCCGCUCCGCCGUGAACACGCGCAUCCAGAGCCUCAUGACCCGCUACCGCGGCGAGUUCGCGCACUGGGACGUCAACAACGAGAUGCUGCACUUCAACUUCUACGAGCAGCGGCUGGGCCCCAACGCCACCAUGGAGUUCUUCAGCGUGGCGCAGGACGCCGACCCGCUCGCCACGCUCUUCAUGAACGAGUACAACGUGGUGGAGACCUGCGACGACGUGUCCUCGACCGUCGACGCGUACGUGGCCCGACUCAAGGACCUCCGGGCCGGCGGCGCCGUGCUGGAGGGGAUCGGCCUCGAGGGCCACUUCUCCAAGCCCAACAUCCCCUACAUGAGGGCCGUGCUCGACAAGCUGGCCACGCUCAACCUGCCCAUCUGGUUCACCGAGAUCGACAUCAACAACAAGUUCGACGCGCAGACGCAGGCCGUGUACCUGGAGCAGGUGCUGCGGGAGGCGUACGCGCACCCGGCGGUGAGCGGCGUCAUGCUCUGGACGGCGCUGCACGAGAACGGGUGCUACCAGAUGUGCCUCACGGACUGGAACCUCAAGAACCUGCCCGUCGGGGACGUCGUCGACCGCCUGCUGCAGGAGUGGCAGACGGGGCAGGUCGCCGGGCCGACGGACGUGCACGGCGCCUACAGCUUCAGCGGCUACCUCGGCGAGUACGUGGUCACCGUGAACGCCGGCAACACGUCGAAGCAGGCCACCUUCUCGCUGUCCCCAGGGGACGAGACCAGGCACAUCACCGUUCAGAUAUGA
rnacentral:rRNA from 1 species